GAUUAUGCUUCCCCCAAAAAACUCUGGGAGAUAAAUGGGAGAAGAGGUCAGGGCAGAGAUGCAGAAGCUCUGGCUCUCGCCCUGCACCACCAUCUGAGGCCAGACCCUUAGGACUUGGCUGCUGAUACAGGACUGGUUAUUGAGAAUCAGCCAGCUCUGCAAUCACAGGUUUUGUUAUAUUCUGAUCCUUCAAACGAUGAACUCCUUCAUACUUCAUCUUUGCAAAAGUAACAGGAUUCCUCAAGUGACCCUGGGCAGAACAAAGAUCAGCUUCUCAAGGACAGAGCCUCAUAAGGGAAACAAGGUUAAGCAGUUGUGCAACUAUCACCACAAGCCCCUUUUAGAACACUUCCACCAGCCCCAGAGUCCCUGCGUGCCUGUGUGCUGUCAAUUACUGCUCCUUCCCUCGGGACAAGGCAACAACCAGUCUGCUUUCUGCCUCCGUGGGUUUGCCUUUUCUGGAAAUUUCAGGUAAAUAGAAUCAUACGAUACAUAGUCUUCUGUGUCUGGCUUCCUUCACUUAGCAUAAUAUUGUUGACGUUCACUCUUGGUGUUCCAUGUGACAGUAGUUUGUUUCUUCUGAUUGCUGAGUUGUAUUCCAUUGGAUGGAUAUACCACCGUUUGUUUAUACAUUGUCUGGUGAUGGACAUUGGGAUUGUUUCCAGUUUGGGGCUAUUAUGAAUCACGCCGCUGUGACCCUUCCUGUGCCAGCCUUUGUGUGGACAUAUGUUUUCUUUGCAAGGUUUUAAAGGCUAAGUAGGAGCUGACUAGGUCGUUAAAGCCAGAGGAAAACAUCCUGGGCAGGAUGCCCAAUAUGUGCAAAAGCUCAGAAAAUGAACGUGCCUGGUAUACACAGGGGAUGAUAGUAGUUCAGUACUGCAGGGAAAGAAAACUCUCUUUUCCGCUGCCCAUUUUGGGUUCAUUGCCUGGGGCCCUGAAAAUUAGACUGACAGAAGACAGAUUAAGGAGAAAAAAACAGAGUUUAUUAGGUCAUGCAUAGACAUGUGGAAGAACUCAGUGGUGAGUAACUCAAAGAGGUGGUCAGAACUGGGGCUUUUUUUUUUCUUUUUUGGGUGAAGUAGAAAAGAAUAGCUUUAUUGCUUUGCCAGGCAAAGAGCCACAGCAGGCUCAUGCCCUCAAAACUGUGUCCCAACCUGGAAGGGGUAGUGAGGAGUUUUACAGUAAUGGUUCAAAGAGGAGGGCGUGAUCAGCUGGUGGACAUUCUUCUGAUUGGUUGGUGGGGAGGUAAGCGGGAGUCGGCAUCGUCUGCCUUCUGGUUCCAACCAUUCUGGGGUCCACCUGCUUGUGGGCAGCACACAGUUAACUUCUCCCACCUGGUGGGGUUCAGUAUCUGGUUUCAGGACUUAAUGAAGCUCAGGUUCUUGAUGUCUCAUUGCAGAAAGAAUUCAGUGAGAGACAGAGCAAUAGGUAAGAAGUGGAUUUAGGG